AGUGUUCCGGGGAGCGGUGGUGCGGUGGGUAUUUUUGUACCUACUGCCUGCUCGUCCCCUGAGUUCACCUAAGCCUAGAGAGCUACCGAUCGUCCGGGUUUCUAUUCUCUUUGCGGCGCUGAUGACAGGUUAACCCGUGUCUUCCGGAGGAUCCGUUGUUGACCCCGCCCCCUCUCGCGGGGCGGGGACACGACGGGUCGCCGGGGAUGUGUGCGGGUGACCCCGAGGCGUCACUGGAGGCAGGUUCACCUGUGUCUUCCGGAAGAUUCGUUGUUGACGGCGCCCCCUCUCGCGGGGCGGGGACACGACGGGUCGCCGGAGAUGUGUGCGGGUGAGUUUGAAGCGUCGCUCGAGGCAAGUUCGCGUUGCGUCUUUCGGAGGAUCCGUUGUACGACGGGUCGCCGGGGAUGUACGCGGGUGAGUUUGGAGCGUCGCUGGAGGCCCGUGGACGGUAGGCAGUCUCGAGAGUGCCGGUGAGAGGCCGGUGAUAAUGAUAUGCCUCCCCCCG
rnacentral:rRNA from 1 species